UGGCCAGACUUCAUUUUUUUUGUUAGGAGGAACAACUGGCUGGUGUUUGCACAUGUGAUCUCCAGGGUGCCCAAGUCUCCAGGGCUGCUCGGAGGAAUAUUUCUUGUGAAAUAGCCAAUCUGCCAGGAGCCGUGUUCUGCUGAUGCUCUGGGCAAGGAAACAGGGGGACCAUUGGCUGUGCUGACCGGCAUGGUUACUGGAAUGUGGUUAUGUUCCUCUUGCCUGGCUGUCCUGGAUGUGCAUUUUAGGUUUGCAAGUAAAAAGAUCAGGAUAUAUUUGGGAAAUAAAGCUCCAUGAUUUGUUUUGUGAUUUCCCCCCUCCCCCCUUUCCCUCACUACGGUCUAUUUACCUAAGUCAUUUUUAUCUAUUCAUCUAUCUGCAUCACAUUUAUCUGUCCAGGAGAUCUUUCAAUAUAUAUUUAUGUCUGUUCCUUUCUGCAUUAUCUCUCUUGCCCUUCUGUACCAACCAUCAAUCUAACUAUAAAAAUCUCCCCUUUCUGUUGUCUUUGAAUAAAUUUUGGCUUUUGAACUUCCUCUUCCACUUUAUACCCGCUGCAUGCUGCAACUUUUUCUAAGCCUGGCCGCAGCUCCUCUUGCACAGAAUCUUUAAGAAAACAUGCCAUUAGCGAGGGUUUGUGCAUCUAAAAAUCCCCAACCUGGGGACGUGACUUCAGGAAAUGUGUUUGUGUUCCCCUUUCUUCUUCACAGCAGCUGCAUCUUCACCGUGGCCAUUUCUUCCAUCACAGAGCUCCUGUGGGACAUCUCUCAGGAAAACAAGCCUGGAUGCAUCAGAGAGCUGGCAACACACAUCCACCAGAUAAUUAGAUUGAAAGAAAACCACCCCUCUGAAGACAAUGAGAUGAUAAAAGAGAUCAAGGUCCCUGGGAAAAC